rnacentral:ncRNA from 2 species
AUAGAGCCGUGCGGGAGCUCGGGUAAGCCGGGCUGAGAGGCCCCGAUAUGUCGGGGCGACCGUCGGAACCUGAUCUGGGUAAUGCCAGCGUAGGGAAUCGGAAGAGAUGUCCUG